rnacentral:rRNA from 1 species
UUAUAUGGAGAGUUUGAUCCUGGCUCAGGACGAACGCUGGCGGCGUGCCUAAUACAUGCAAGUCGAGCGGACGGAUGGGAGCUUGCUCCCUGAAGUCAGCGGCGGACGGGUGAGUAACACGUGGGCAACCUGCCUGUAAGACUGGGAUAACUUCGGGAAACCGGAGCUAAUACCGGAUAAUGCAUUUCCCCUCAUGGGGAUAUGCUGAAAGAUGGUUUCGGCUAUCGCUUACAGAUGGGCCCGCGGCGCAUUAGCUAGUUGGUGAGGUAACGGCUCACCAAGGCAACGAUGCGUAGCCGACCUGAGAGGGUGAUCGGCCACACUGGGACUGAGACACGGCCCAGACUCCUACGGGAGGCAGCAGUAGGGAAUCUUCCGCAAUGGACGAAAGUCUGACGGAGCAACGCCGCGUGAGUGAUGAAGGUUUUCGGAUCGUAAAACUCUGUUGUCAGGGAAGAACAAGUGCCGGAGUAACUGCCGGCACCUUGACGGUACCUGACCAGAAAGCCACGGCUAACUACGUGCCAGCAGCCGCGGUAAUACGUAGGUGGCAAGCGUUGUCCGGAAUUAUUGGGCGUAAAGCGCGCGCAGGCGGUCUCUUAAGUCUGAUGUGAAAGCCCACGGCUCAACCGUGGAGGGUCAUUGGAAACUGGGGGACUUGAGUGCAGAAGAGGAAAGUGGAAUUCCACGUGUAGCGGUGAAAUGCGUAGAGAUGUGGAGGAACACCAGUGGCGAAGGCGACUUUCUGGUCUGUAACUGACGCUGAGGCGCGAAAGCGUGGGGAGCAAACAGGAUUAGAUACCCUGGUAGUCCACGCCGUAAACGAUGAGUGCUAAGUGUUAGAGGGUUUCCGCCCUUUAGUGCUGCAGCAAACGCAUUAAGCACUCCGCCUGGGGAGUACGGC